UACGUAGGGUGCAAGCGUUAAUCGGAAUUACUGGGCGUAAAGCGUGCGCAGGCGGUUCGCUAAGACAGGUGUGAAAUCCCCGGGCUUAACCUGGGAACUGCAUUUGUGACUGGCGGGCUAGAGUAUGGCAGAGGGGGGUAGAAUUCCACGUGUAGCAGUGAAAUGCGUAGAGAUGUGGAGGAAUACCGAUGGCGAAGGCAGCCCCCUGGGCCAAUACUGACGCUCAUGCACGAAAGCGUGGGGAGCAAACAGG
rnacentral:rRNA from 1 species